rfam:Drosophila busckii chromosome 3R sequence.
UCGUUCUUGUGUUAUUCACUAAAUUUUAACAUCUUGUUUAGUGAUUGUCAAACAGAACGUAGAGUAUACACCAAAGCGGACUACUCCACAAUGCAGAGUCCAACUUAACCCAGGACUUCUUCAUUACAAAUCACCGCUUACAUCAUUA